UAGAGCGUCAUCCUCCAGCCUUUGUGUCGUUGGACGUGCGUGCGUGCGUGCGUGACGUAGUCAAGCUUGUGUGUCUGUCACAGAGCGAAAGAGGCUUGCGUCGUAUUAAAUUCUCCUCUGAAGUUUAUCUGGCUGAUCUUCUAUCUGGACCUGAGAGAUGAAGAAGGCACAAUCGCUCCUUUUCCAAGCGUUGACCGUGCUUGGCAUUUGGGCUUCGCUUGGUGAGUUCACGUUUUUAUUUGACUUCAAGGUGCCUCACUGCAAACGUUGUUGGGACUGGAUUUGUUUCUUCAGAUCAUUAGGGGAUCAAUAUAAAAGGGCAUUUUAUUGGCCCCACCUCGGGGAAAUGUAUACUUGUCAGAUUACUAGACAUAUUAAGCAAACUGUCAGUCUCAUUUGAAACAAUGGAAACAAUACGUUAUACAUCCGCGGUUUUGAGACACUUUCUGAUCCGACUGUGAACUUUUGAAAAAAGGGUGUAGUAAAGCCUAUUUAAAACUAACGACUGACUUUAAGCAUUGAUAUGCCACUCAUUUAACUCACUGACCGCCACUGACUGAAAACCUGAAACAUUCACUUCGGUUUGCCUUGGAAGGCUGCAAAUGGAUUGGACGUCUAGCACCGUCAUUGGCACAGAAACGUGAGAAUCCAUAGCCAGUCCUCCCAGUUAAGAAUAAGCGCACUUCUGUUGUUGUCAGUAGUAAGCUAAACGAACCAAAAUUAUACAUUAAUACAAAUGUAUAUAUAUAACUAUUUUAAAACUAUUAAAAUUAUUAUGAAUUAAAAAAAAAUAACACUAAAUAUUACUAUUAAAUUGUAUAAUAAUAAUUUUAAUUUAAUAAUAAUAAAUUUAAUAAAUUCAUAAUAAUUUAUUUUUUAAUUUAAUUUUAUAGUAUUAUAUAAUACUAUAUUAUUAUUAGUAGUAGUAUUACUAAAUAUAAUAACACUAAAUAUAUAAUACUAAGUAUUGACUAAUGGCAGUUAAAUACUCUUGUAGUUUAGUUUUGGUUAGUUUUAGUUUUACACUAAAGGGUCAUAGUAUUUACCUAUGAUAUAAAUAAAUAUCUACUUUUUUUAAUUCCAUUAUAAUCUUAAUGAUUUUUUAAUCAAUAAAUUAUCAAUAAACCCAAUAGAUUUGUAUUAAUGUAUAAUUGUAUUUUUUCAUAUAUAAAUAAAAUUAACAUUAAAAAAUAAAAAAUAAAUACAUAUAUGUUACAGUUCUACAUGGACUGAGGUUUUCAAUGCAACGCUUCACAUUCCAGGUGUUUUGUUUCACAUUGCGAGAUGGAUAAUUUUGUAUGUGGUGCUUGUGUGUGUGUUUUGUCAUAAUGUAUCAAACGUAGGAAGAGAAUGUCCAAAAGACAUGUGCUUCAACACAACAGAAAACUUAGCUCCAAAACCAUUGUCUGUGAUCUCAAUUGAUCUGGAUCAUGAAUACAUAUAGGUUGAGGUGCUGGAGGGGGAGGGAUAAUUGAACUUUUAAUGACCGAAGGGAAAACAAACAACAACAAAAAACCUGCAGUUGAACACAAUCUUGAUGACUUUUACAAUUGUUGUUACAAUAUGAUUAACACCCCCCACCAACACAAACCUAUAUAAAGACAAACCGAACACUUUAAAAUGCAACUUUUUUUCACCUCGACCUAUAACCUUACUCACCUUGUCUUCACUGAUGCAAAAGCAUCUAUUGCACUUUCAUAUGACAGUUGUUUUGGAAGGGCACUUCUUUCCUGGACUUGGUGGGCUUGGACUUGGUGCUGAUGUGGAUAAGUUCGCUGUAAAAUGACACAUUUCAAAGACAACCCUAUGCUGAGAGCUACAAACUCUUUUGUGAACAAGUGAUCCGUCAAAGGAUUAUCGUUGACAAAGAAGUGCUCAGAAUGGACAAGCCAAGAAGGUUGUUCGUGAACAUCGUGAAGAACCAUGAGGAUCUUGAUGCUUCAGACUACAGGCGGGAUAUGCUGAAAAGAAGAUUGAAGUGUGAUUUCCCCCAAUUAGUUUUUUAUGGGGAGAGAUUUGUCUCAAAAAUAUUCUCACAAAUGCUUUCGCGAUUCACACAUAUCUUUUGUAGAUGCACAAAUAUAUCAGAGAUUUUCACAUGUAUUUUCGAGAUCCACAAAUAUAUCCAUGAGUUUCACAUGUGUUUUUGUAAUUCACAAGUAUAUCC